GCAAUGCAAUUUACAAUCUGUAAGGGAGACUUUCAGGACUGCAUUGUAUCUGUCUGUCAAUCACAGAUCAGAUCGCACUGAAAUACUUACAUUUGGGUGCCAAAAGCCAGAGAUUUCUGAAAUCACUAUGCCAUUCUGACAACUGAGUACCCCAGAUCUGCAGUAUGUAAGGAGGCAAUCAGCAGAAUCCUAAGGGGAAAUGAAACUACAACCUAGCUGCUUGUAAGCUGAUGAAACCUUUCCAGGAGAAUCAAUCCAGAAGAGAACUUGAUAUGAUAGACUGCAGCUGGCUCUAUGCAAGCUCCACAGACUACAAGUGCUCAGCAUAGAGAUGGCCAGUGCUGCAGUGCCCUGCACCUGGGGUGAACUGCGGUGAUGAUAGAUUCUCUUGGAUCUCAG